rnacentral:tRNA from 1 species
AUAGCUCAGCUGGAUAGAGCACAUCAUUCCUAAUGAUGGGGCCGGUGGUUCGAAUCCACCUAGGACCACCA